rnacentral:lncRNA from 1 species
ACUGGGCAGGAGGGAUUUAGACGGAGAAGGGAUGAUGAUCGUAAAACAAGAUAGAAUUAUUUAAAGAAAAAAUAAAGGUCUCAACUUUACCAAAAGUUUGACAUUUUUGAAACUUUGUUCUUGUCUGAUUAAAAUCGAAUAACAAUUAUGCAGCCACAUAUUACUGACUUUACAUAUUUAAGACGAUGCACGUGAAAUUACAAACAUUCAUGAACUCAAAUGAGACCAAAUUCAAUCCCUCAUAAUGGCAACUUCGAUGGUAAUCGAGUCAAAAUACUUCACCCGUCAACAUUUAAACCAUAA